AUACCUCUAAAUCCCUCUCUUCUCUCAACUCACCUUAAACCAUAACCGCUACCUCCCAUCGAAACCCUAAUCCAUGGCCUCUCAUGGCCAUUGAAGAUGUUCUAUGGUCUCCUGUGGCUCCUGGGUGUUCAUUUUUGUGGUCUCAUGGACAGAUCUCGAAGGAAGUUGGUCCAGCCUUUGCCUGACUUCCGUUCUUGGUCAUUCUCCGGUCAUCCCUGACUUUUCUCCAGACGGCCAUGGUCGUUCAAGUCAGAUCUUGGGUUCUUCUGGUUAGAUCGUUAUUUUUCAAAGCCUUUCUCACCUUUCUGGGUUCUACGAAACCCUAACUCUAAGGUUCCUUCAAUUUAUUUUUAGAUCUGCUGUAGAUCUAUGUGUAUUUGAACUUUCUGGGCAUGCUUCUCAAAGUUUCCCCAAUUUUUUGCUUUCAAAACUCUUUGUUCUUUUAGAUCUGCUGUAGAUCUAUGUGUCUAUGUCAAGUUAUUUCGAAUUUCCUCUCUUAUUCUUGGCAUGUUUUUGUACUUUGCUUGUGUUGCUUUCUUUAUUUCGUGUAAGCAUGUUGAAAACCCCUAAUUUUGGAAUUUUUGUUUGAGUCUGGUGCUUAUCUUCUCUAGGUUAUUUGAUGUUAAAAAGCCCUAAUUUUUUGGAUCUAUUUGACUUACUGAGCCUGGCUAUUUGGUUUACUUAUUAAUAGUUGAAACCCAAAUUUUUAGGGGUUUUUAUUUGGAACUCUGAAAGCGCUUGUUGUUUCACCUGUUGGUCGUCUGUAAACCCAACUGAUUUUGAGAAAACACCUAGCAUCCUUGGGGACUAUUCGAGUCCUUUGGGUUUAUUUGUGCGAUUUGUCUGUUUGAAACUAUUCAACUUCAUUCAUGCAUCUCUUUUCUCUAUGUGUCAUGAGUUCUUGGCAACAGUCAAACUCGACUAUAUUUCUUGCUCAACUCACUGGAUGCUUUGAUUCUUUCUCUUUCUAUUACACUGAAACCUAACUAGCAUGCUUUGAAAUAUCUUCCUUAUGUUGUUACUGUGUGAUAUUUCAUUUACCAUAGCUUGGACUCACAUGUCUGUUAUUUGUGCAUGCAUUAUAUACUACGUCCCCUGCGAUUUAUUUUUAAACUCGAAAUUGAUUUCAAAACUUUUUCUUCCAUGAGAUUUUGAUUUUUACUAGCCUUCAAGGGUUAAUUGAUUCUCUUUCUUUGUUUUGCUUCAUUGAAUCUUUCCAAAAAUAACCACAAAUCUUGUACUUAGACUUUUUGCCUAUUGUAUGACUUUACUAUUUUUUGUGGCAACAAGCCAUUCUACUUAUGUGAUUGAUUCAUCUUUCCUUAUUUGGAACAUAUUAGUAUCCAUCUGAAUAAGAAUCCCCUGAUUAAAGGAAAGACUUAUACUAAUUGAUUCUAAUUUGUGAGCAUGCCCAUAUUUGUGCUUUUACUCUACUCUCUACUCAUUUUUUCAAAAACAAUAAAUACCUCACCCUCUCCUCUUUCGACACAGAAGUUCCAAUGAACACACACACACACAAUAUACUCACUACUUCUCUUCUCUCAAAACACUUUUAAGUUCUCUCAAAGCAUUCGAGUUUUCUGCUGAAAUCAUAAGUUAGCUUUCUUUGGUUGUGUUGUGGCUACAAGUAUUCUGCUUCUCUUUCUGUUUACUUUUGCAACAGGUAUGUCUUCUUUAGUUUAAUAUUGUCCAUUUUUUAUGUUUAUACUUCAGUUCUUUUGUGUUUACUUUACUAUUUUUCUGCAAAUUUGCUAUCUUUGCUCUUACAUGAAUUCCCUCUCCCUAAACCCUUUUGUAUGUGAGCCAUAGUUCAUAAAGCAUGACAAUACUUAAAUAUUAUUAUUCAUUUGUAUGGACUAGAUUCCUUGAAUCCUAAACUCUAUCAAUUCCCGCUCCAUUUCCCCUUAUGUGUGCUCUGAGCCUAAGACCCUAGUCUGGCAGUGUCCUAAUCACUGUCCAGACCAUAGUCUGACCUUCAUAGCUCUAUGCUCUUAUUUGUUUUGCUAAAUAGGUCUGGUCAGGGGUGUGUCAGCCUGCCUUGUGGCUAGGCAUGACCACCAACCUGUUAUGGCUCUCAACCCCUUCUGCACUUACACUCAUUCUUAGAAAUUAAGUUAUGCCCCUCUCUUGUAAGCCUUGCCUUGGGACCCUGGAGCUCCCUCUGAACUUGAAUUCUUGGUAGCUGGCCUUUCCACACUGCACUAUAUCUAAUUCUAAUGGGUAUCUUGGGUGUACGCAAUGCAUGGAAUUCCUGAAAUUCCUGAAAUUCCUUGGAACUUUGAAACACCCUAGAUAAAGAGAAGGCUUUGAAAAUCUGGAUUCCGGAAGUGGUUCAAUCUUAUAUUGUUAUAAGUCUGAAUUAGGUACCUUGGAUGCAACUGUAGUUUCUGAUGUAUUUUUAUUCUACUGGUCUGUAACAACUUGUAUAAACUCGGGGAUCUAGUGAAAAGGGUGGUGUAUUUACUUUUCUG
rnacentral:lncRNA from 1 species